UGGGGAAUAUUGCACAAUGGGCGCAAGCCUGAUGCAGCCAUGCCGCGUGUAUGAAGAAGGCCUUCGGGUUGUAAAGUACUUUCAGUCGGGAGGAAGGUGGUAAGGUUAAUAACCUUAUCAAUUGACGUUACCGACAGAAGAAGCACCGGCUAACUCCGUGCCAGCAGCCGCGGUAAUACGGAGGGUGCAAGCGUUAAUCGGAAUUACUGGGCGUAAAGCGCACGCAGGCGGUUGAUUGAGUCAGAUGUGAAAUCCCCGGGCUUAACCCGGGAAUUGCAUCUGAUACUGGUCAGCUAGAGUCUUGUAGAGGGGGGUAGAAUUCCAUGUGUAGCGGUGAAAUGCGUAGAGAUGUGGAGGAAUACCGGUAGCGAAGGCGGCCCCCUGGACAAAGACUGACGCUCAGGUGCGAAAGCGUGGGGAGCAAACAGG
rnacentral:rRNA from 1 species